GAUGAACGCUGGCGGCGUGCCUAAUACAUGCAAGUCGAGCGAACGGACGAGAAGCUUGCUUCUCUGAUGUUAGAGGCGGACGGGUGAGUAACACGUGGAUAACCUACCUAUAAGACUGGGAUAACUUCGGGAAACCGUAGCUAAUACCGGAUAAUAUUUUGAACCGCAUGGUUCAAAAGUGAAAGACGGUCUUGCUGUCACUUAUAGAUGGAUCCGCGCUGCAUUAGCUAGUUGGUAAGGUAACGGCUUACCAAGGCAACGAUGCAUAGCCGACCUGAGAGGGUGAUCGGCCACACUGGAACUGAGACACGGUCCAGACUCCUACGGGAGGCAGCAGUAGGGAAUCUUCCGCAAUGGGCGAAAGCCUGACGGAGCAACGCCGCGUGAGUGAUGAAGGUCUUCGGAUCGUAAAACUCUGUUUUUAGGGAAGAACAUAUGUGUAAGUAACUGUGCACAUCUUGACGGUACCUAAUCAGAAAGCCACGGCUAACUACGUG
rnacentral:rRNA from 1 species